GGAGUAACUCAGUGGUAGAGCAUCUGCUUUGCAUGCAGAAGGUCCCGGGUUCAAUCCUUGGCGUCUCCA